UCAUUGCUGGAACAAACGCCCUCACGGGUGCUACCCAGAAACCCUUUGUGAAUACUACCUAAAAAUGUUGCCUCGGCAUUGGUUGACCUCUUCAGAGGCCCCUUCCCCUAGGGGAAGGAGCAGACCGGCCGGUGGCCCUAUAAACUCUUGUUUUUGUAAUAUCAUCUGAGUAAAAAACUUAAAAUAAAUCAAAACUUUCAACAACGGAUCUCUUGGUUCUGGCAUCGAUGAAGAACGCAGCGAAAUGCGAUAAGUAAUGUGAAUUGCAGAAUUCAGUGAAUCAUCGAAUCUUUGAACGCACAUUGCGCCCGGUGGUAUUCCACCGGGCAUGCCUGUUCGAGCGUCAUUUCAACCCUCAAAGCAUGCUUUGGUGUUGGAGGAAUACCCUGUAAAAAGGGUACCCUCUGAAAUUUAGUGGCGGGCUCGCUAGAAUUUUGAGCGUAGUAAUUUUACCUCGUUUUUAAAGACUAGUGGGACUUCUUGCCGUAAAACCCCCCAACUUUCUGA
rnacentral:rRNA from 1 species